AUAUAUUUGAAGCCAACCAAAGCAACAUAAACCAACCACUAAAACUAAAGAUCUAAACAUCCAAACAAAGAAACAAAGAAACAUAAAAGAAAACUAAACACCGAUUUUAUCUCAUUCAGCCUACAGAUUUUGAGGCAUACCGGUGUACAUGAACAGAGACCCGCUCGUUAGUCAGAAUCGAUUGAUCUCCUGUCAGUCAGAAUGGAAUGCUGCUGUUGGACUUUGCCUUGAGAGCUGGACAGGUUCAGCAGCACCUGGAAUUCAAAUAUAAAUGGAGUGUCCCCAGUGCCCUGGCCCCAGCCAAUGGUGAACAAGACCUCCUUCUGCAAGGCCUGUGCCUACCCCUCAAAGGUUUAAGUAGUCUUUGCUUUCUCCAUUAAACAAGCAGUUUCCCAGAAGCCAUCAUCUCUGGAAAGUCUCCAUCAAGCUCACAGAUGCCUGAGGUCUCCUCUGCUCCCAGCCAUUCCAGCCUCUCUUUCCCUCUCAGGAUCUGCUGGUUGCAUUUGUGGGCAUCACUCCUGAACAGGCAUGGAGGCAGAGCCACAGCAGCAAGUUUCUUUCCUGAUUCUAUAAUAAAAUAAUCUAACAAAAGCAAGCGGGGGG